AACUGGGCUAAUUACAGCGCGGAGC
rnacentral:piRNA from 1 species